GACGAACGCUGGCGGCGUGCUUAACACAUGCAAGUCGAACGGAAAGGCCCUGCUUUUGUGGGGUGCUCGAGUGGCGAACGGGUGAGUAACACGUGAGUAACCUGCCCUUGACUUUGGGAUAACUUCAGGAAACUGGGGCUAAUACCGGAUAGGAGCUCCUGCUGCAUGGUGGGGGUUGGAAAGUUUCGGCGGUUGGGGAUGGACUCGCGGCUUAUCAGCUUGUUGGUGGGGUAGUGGCUUACCAAGGCUUUGACGGGUAGCCGGCCUGAGAGGGUGACCGGCCACAUUGGGACUGAGAUACGGCCCAGACUCCUACGGGAGGCAGCAGUGGGGAAUAUUGCACAAUGGGCGGGAGCCUGAUGCAGCAACGCCGCGUGCGGGAUGACGGCCUUCGGGUUGUAAACCGCUUUCGCCUGUGACGAAGCGUGAGUGACGGUAAUGGGUAAAGAAGCACCGGCUAACUACGUGCCAGCAGCCGCGGUGAUACGUAGGGUGCGAGCGUUGUCCGGAUUUAUUGGGCGUAAAGGGCUCGUAGGUGGUUGAUCGCGUCGGAAGUGUAAUCUUGGGGCUUAACCCUGAGCGUGCUUUCGAUACGGGUUGACUUGAGGAAGGUAGGGGAGAAUGGAAUUCCUGGUGGAGCGGUGGAAUGCGCAGAUAUCAGGAGGAACACCAGUGGCGAAGGCGGUUCUCUGGGCCUUUCCUGACGCUGAGGAGCGAAAGCGUGGGGAGCGAACAGGCUUAGAUACCCUGGUAGUCCACGCUGUAAACGGUGGGUACUAGGUGUGGGGUCCAUUCCACGGGUUCCGUGCCGUAGCUAACGCUUUAAGUACCCCGCCUGGGGAGUACGGCCGCAAGGCUAAAACUCAAAGGAAUUGACGGGGCCCCGCACAAGCGGCGGAGCAUGCAGAUUAAUUCGAUGCAACGCGUAGAACCUUACCUGGGUUUGACAUGGAUCGGGAGUGCUCAGAGAUGGGUGUGCCUCUUUUGGGGUCGGUUCACAGGUGGUGCAUGGCUGUCGUCAGCUCGUGUCGUGAGAUGUUGGGUUAAGUCCCGCAACGAGCGCAACCCUUGUUCACUGUUGCCAGCACGUUAUGGUGGGGACUCAGUGGAGACCGCCGGGGUCAACUCGGAGGAAGGUGGGGAUGACGUCAAGUCAUCAUGCCCCUUAUGUCCAGGGCUUCACGCAUGCUACAAUGGCUGGUACAGAGAGUGGCGAGCCUGUGAGGGUGAGCGAAUCUCGGAAAGCCGGUCUCAGUUCGGAUUGGGGUCUGCAACUCGACCUCAUGAAGUCGGAGUCGCUAGUAAUCGCAGAUCAGCAACGCUGCGGUGAAUACGUUCCCGGGGCUUGUACACACCGCCCGUCAAGUCAUGAAAGUUGGUAACGCCCGAAGCCGGUGGCCUAACCGUUGUGGGGGAGCCGUCGAAGGUGGGACUGGUGAUUAGGACU
rnacentral:rRNA from 1 species